GAUGAACGCUCGCUACAGGCUUAACACAUGCAAGUCGAGGGGCAGCAUGGUCUUAGCUUGCUAAGGCCGAUGGCGACCGGCGCACGGGUGAGUAACACGUAUCCAACCUGCCGUCUACUCUUGGACAGCCUUCUGAAAGGAAGAUUAAUACAAGAUGGCAUCAUGAGUCCGCAUGUUCACAUGAUUAAAGGUAUUCCGGUAGACGAUGGGGAUGCGUUCCAUUAGAUAGUAGGCGGGGUAACGGCCCACCUAGUCUUCGAUGGAUAGGGGUUCUGAGAGGAAGGUCCCCCACAUUGGAACUGAGACACGGUCCAAAAUGCUACGGGAGGCAGCAGUGAGGAAGAGUGGGCAAGGGGCGCAGGCCUGAACCAGCCAAGUAGCGUGAAGGAGGACUGCCCUAUGGGUUGUAAACUUCUUUUAUAAAGGAAUAAAGUCGGGUAUGUAUACCCGGUUGAAUGUACUUUAUGAAUAAGGAUCGGCUAACUCCGUG
rnacentral:rRNA from 1 species